CACCAUUUCAACCCCCUUUUCUCUCUAUAAAUUGAUGCAGUCUUCCCCAUUUUUUUUCAAACCUAAAACCACACUUAUAGCCUACUACAAAGAUACAUCUUCCGCAACUCGAAAUCCUGCAGACGCAAGAGCAAAACCAAGGGAGAAAACGGAAGCAGAAACUGUUUUUCGGGACAGAAAAGUGAGCUGUAAAUUGUAUAUUUCUAGCUACCUUCUACCUUCUUAGGCGUGAGUAAAUUUUGUUUAUAUGUUCUUAUAUGAGGUAGGUAACUGUUAAUAGGUUCAGUUUAUACUUAUUUGAGGCGAGAUAAUGCUACUCCACAGCCUUGUUUUUGCUUUCAUAUAUAACACAUAUUAACCGUGGAGUUUGAGAUUCAGUUUUUAUCUGUCAAUGAGAGGACAUUGACACUUGCGUUUUAUUGGGAAGAAGUUACGCAGUGUAAUACCACCUUUAUAUUAUCUCUAAUUGUUAAAAUCAUCUGAUGUGCGAAUACUGAACGGGUCAGCCCAAGCUGGAAAUUAAGCCACUCAAGCCUAGUUUAUAUUUACGAACCUAAAAUUAGGCAAGCUUGGCUCAUCUACUUUUCAAGUUUGAACAGUCUUUGUAUAAGUUGUUUUCUAACAGAGCUCAAGUAUGUUAAUUAAUUUACAUGUUAAUUAAUAAAUAUAUCCUUUGCUUUAUGUUGUUAGGGUUUGCUUUCAAAAUUUCUCAUGAACUUGACGUGUCCCUGUAUUUAUGUUUUCAUUAACUGAACUAUUUGUUUAGAGUAAGAAACUCCAAUAAUUCAAAUUGUAAAACAUAUCUUGAGUAAUGUUCUAACACCCAAUUCGGGUCUAACAAUCGAUCAUAACAUGUGCAACUAUAAUGACUAUAGGUGUAUAGAUAGUUUGCUAAAUAAAUAUAUCGUUUGCUUGAUAUUGUUAGGCUUGCUUUCAAAAUUUCUUAUGAACUUCGGAAUGAAAUCUAUCUUCUCCUCGUAUUUAUGUAUUCAAUAACUAUAUUAUUUAUUUAUAGCAAGAAACUCCAAUAAUUAAAAUUGUAAAAUAUGUAUCUUGAGUAAUGUUCUAACAACUCAAUUCAGAUCAAUCGAUCAAUCAUAACGCGUGCAACUAUUAUUACUUGGAAAUAUACAUCUUAACUUAUUCCUUCAAGUCCCAAGAAUUUGCUUUCUUAGCUUCAAUAAUACAACUAGAAUUGGCACAAUUCACUAUGUAGUCAGCUAGCAAGGCAAAAAGAAGAAUAGAACAAGAUAAAAAUCUUGGCUGGAUGAAUUUAAUGACGCACAUAAUUUAAGAGGGAGUAUGAUUGUGUCCAGUUGGGUGAAUCUUUAGUACUAUUGGCUCCGAAU
rnacentral:lncRNA from 1 species